CGGAACGUGCCCAAUAGUGGGGGAUAGCCCGGCGAAAGCCGGAUUAAUACCGCAUGAGACCUGAGGGUGAAAGCGGGGGAUUCGCAAGAACCUCGCGCUAUUGGAGCGGCCGAUAUCAGAUUAGGUAGUUGGUGGGGUAAAAGCCUACCAAGCCGACGAUCUGUAGCUGGUCUGAGAGGACGACCAGCCACACUGGGACUGAGACACGGCCCAGGCUCCUACGGGAGGCAGCAGUGGGGAAUUUUUGACAAUGGGCGCAAGCCUGAUCCAGCCAUGCCGCGUGCGGGAAGAAGGCCUUCGGGUUGUAAACCGCUUUUGUCAGGGAAGAAAUCCUUUGAGUUAAUACCUCGGGGGGAUGACGGUACCUGAAGAAUAAGCACCGGCUAACUACGUGCCAGCAGCCGCGGUAAUACGUAGGGUGCGAGCGUUAAUCGGAAUUACUGGGCGUAAAGCGUGCGCAGGCGGUCUUGCAAGACAGGUGUGAAAUCCCCGGGCUUAACCUGGGAACUGCACCUGUGACUGCAAGGCUGGAGUACGGCAGAGGGGGAUGGAAUUCCGCGUGUAGCAGUGAAAUGCGUAGAUAUGCGGAGGAACACCGAUGGCGAAGGCAAUCCCCUGGGCCUGUACUGACGCUCAUGCACGAAAGCGUGGGGAGCAAACAGGAUUAGAUACCCUGGUAGUCCACGCCCUAAACGAUGUCAACUGGUUGUUGGACGGCUUGCUGUUCAGUAACGAAGCUAACGCGUGAAGUUGACCGCCUGGGGAGUACGGCCGCAAGGUUGAAACUCAAAGGAAUUGACGGGGACCCGCACAAGCGGUGGAUGAUGUGGUUUAAUUCGAUGCAACGCGAAAAACCUUACCUACCCUUGACAUGUCUGGAAUCCUGAAGAGAUUUGGGAGUGCUCGAAAGAGAACCAGAACACAGGUGCUGCAUGGCCGUCGUCAGCUCGUGUCGUGAGAUGUUGGGUUAAGUCCCGCAACGAGCGCAACCCUUGUCAUUAGUUGCUACGAAAGGGCACUCUAAUGAGACUGCCGGUGACAAACCGGAGGAAGGUGGGGAUGACGUCAGGUCCUCAUGGCCCUUAUGGGUAGGGCUACACACGUCAUACAAUGGCCGGUACAGAGGGCUGCCAACCCGCGAGGGGGAGCCAAUCCCAGAAAACCGGUCGUAGUCCGGAUCGUAGUCUGCAACUCGACUGCGUGAAGUCGGAAUCGCUAGUAAUCGCGGAUCAGCUUGCCGCGGUGAAUACGUUCCCGGGUCUUGUACACACCGCCCGUCACACCAUGGGAGCGGGUUCUGCCAGAAGUAGUUAGCCUAACCGCAAGGAGGGCGAUUACCACGGCAGGGUUCGUGACUGGGGUGAAGUCGUAACAAGGUA
rnacentral:rRNA from 1 species